AGUCACGAUCAGCGAUAAAUCUCGACGCGCUGGCCGAAUUUGGAAGUCGAAUAUCUCUGGCCGAAGAUCUCUGAAUAUGUUCCCGCGAGUUUGGUUAAGGUUUAUUUAGUUCACGGUGUUUUCCGUUUCGAUAUCGAUUUGAAUAUUUGAAUUUAGAACCUUGGCUGCAAUGAAGAUGAAAUUUUUUCUACUCUUGAACUUGACGUAUAUGUAGCUUGGUUUGUUUUCUUUUUAAUAAAAUUACAUCGCAUUGCAGUUACAAAUACCUUGUUUACAACUUGAAUUUGGCUAACAAUACAUUUCAUCUUCAAGC